AUGUAUUACUGGCAUGCGAAACCGUAAAUUAAAGUGAAUUAAUGAAGACUCAGAACACCAAUUCUGAAAGGUUGCUGACCCCUGGUCUAGACACUGAGUCCUGAUGUCUGCACUUCAAGAGCUUCCCCUAUGUUCCAGUCUGAGUUUCCCUGGCAAGGCUGCCUUAGUGUACAGUGGAGCCAAUGAAGCAGAACCACAGGAAAUCUUUCAGGAACUGAUUACCAAGGCUAGCAGGCAGCCAGGGAACACCUGGACAAGUGUCUGGCCAUCUUCAAGAGAGUUUGAGCCCACAGAGGAACUAUCUUGACUGUCCUGAUGGGGUAGCUGAAGAAAUCCUUCACUGGACUCCGAACGGGUAUUUGAGAGCAGACUUUUUCACCUAAGAAUAAACAGGAGCCGCAUAAAUAUUGCCAAGAAACAGAGGUCUCUAAGUAAUAAAGAAGAGAGAGAAAUACAGAAAAUAUGAUGUAAAGAUAUAUCUAAAUGAAGACAUUUUAAAGACUUUCAUGGGCCAUUUAUGGUCUUUAAUAUGACGUAAUGCUGAACUUUAUGAACACAGCAUGCACAUAUAGGAUACAAUAAAGUAGUAUUUAAAAACACUUUCUUUUUACUGCUAAAAGAAGCAAAAGUUCUCUACUGGAAAAAGCAACAGAAUUUUCAAAGAAUUCUGGGAUGCUUGUUUGAAGUGGAAGGAGGAAUAAAUUAUUUUUUUCA